rnacentral:snRNA from 1 species
AAACUACCAUAUAGCUUUUAUACUAAAAUUGGAACGAUACAGAGAAGAUUAGCAUGUCC